rnacentral:misc_RNA from 1 species
GGAAGUAAAAGUCGUAACAAGAGCUCCGUUGGUGAACCAGCGGAGGGAUCAUUACAGGACUCGCAAGACUCCUUCACCCUGUGAACCUCACUACAAGCACGUUGCUUCGGCGGGUGUCCCGGCGGGGGUUUUCCCUCGCCGGGGCGCACAGCCCGCCGGCAGCCUACUAUACUCUGUCUCUUUGCGUUGGCAUCUCGAGAAAAAACAAACAAGUUAAAACUUUCAACAACGGAUCUCUUGGUUCUG